AGGAGGAACAAAGGGGAAGAGCUGAGGAUGGACAACUCCAGCUGGAAAAGAGGCACAUGCUGCUUACCAGGAGGAAAUUCCCCAGUCUCCAGCUGAGAAGAAAUAUUUGCAGCUCCCCAGGCCUUCAAAGGGGUGAAGCAGAAAGAGAGUGGAAGGAACAGAACUCCUGUCCCUGAAGCAGCAAGUUGGAAAAGGCCACUGGUGUAACUGGGCACAAGAGCCACCCACAGGCCAAAGGGGCGCAGGACCAGAUUACCCAGAUCCUUCAGUUUGCCUGCAAUGACAUUCCAAGAGAACACAGUGAGAGCUGAGCAGAGGGAAAACUUCCAUGGAAUCACACCCAACUACAUCCAGCCCUGCUGAUUUAUCCAUCACAGGUAAAUGCUGAGGAAAUCUCUGCAUUUUGUUAAUAUUUAGGCUCUUUAGGAAUUAAAAAUCACUGUUAAAUAUCCACAGGGUAUGAGAGUUAAUAAAGUCCUGUGAGUAUAUGGAUCACACGUGAUUCCUGACUCUGGGAAAUGAAUCUUGCCACAGCUGUAAGAGGGAAAGGACAACAAAAGGACAUCCUUUAAAAAAAAUCCUAUAUAGAAGUUAGAGAAUAGAUAAAGUGAAACAGGAAGCAGAGGUAACAACUUCACUGCUGGCAUGACA